rnacentral:rRNA from 1 species
UACGUAGGGCGCAAGCGUUGUCCGGAAUUAUUGGGCGUAAAGAGCUCGUAGGCGGCUUGUCACGUCGGGUGUGAAAGCCCGGGGCUUAACCCCGGGUCUGCAUUCGAUACGGGCUAGCUAGGGUGUGGUAGGGGAGAUCGGAAUUCCUGGUGUAGCGGUGGAAAUGACGCAGAUAAUCAGGAGGAACACCGGUGGCGAAGGCGGAUCUCUGGGCCAUUACUGACGCUGAGGAGCGAAAGCGUGGGGAGCGAACAGG